rnacentral:rRNA from 1 species
AGCCUGCGGCCCAUUAGGCAGUUGGCGGGGUAACGGCCCACCAAACCGACGAUGGGUAGCCGGCCUGAGAGGGUGUACGGCCACACUGGAACUGAGACACGGUACAGACUCCUACGGGAGGCAGCAGCUAAGAAUCUUCCGCAAUGGGGGAAACCCUGACGGAGCGACGCCGCGUGGACGAUGAAGGCCGUAAGGUUGUAAAGUCCUUUUGCAGGCGAAGAAUAAGGAGGGGAGUGGAAAGCCCUUCUGAUGACGUUAGCCUGCGAAUAAGCCCCGGCCAAUUACGUGCCAGCAGCCGCGGUAAUACGUAUGGGGCGAGCGUUGUUCGGAGUUAUUGGGCGUAAAGGGCGUGUAGGCGGUCCGAGAAGUCUGGUGUGAAAUCGCGGGGCUCAACCCUGCGUGUGCGCUGGAAACUGACGGACUGGGGUCCUGGGGGGAAGCUGGAAUUCCUGGUGUAGGAGUGAAAUCUGUAGAGAUCAGGAAGAACACCGGUGGCGAAGGCGAGCUUCUAUUCGAGGACUGACGCUGAGGCGCGAAAGCGUGGGGAGCAAACAGGAUUAGAUACCCUGGUAGUCCACGCUGUAAACGAUGUGCACUAGGCGUGGGGCACGUCGGUGCUCUGUGCCGUAGCCAACGCGAUAAGUGCACCGCCUGGGGAGUAUGCUCGCAAGGGUGAAACUCAAAGGAAUUGACGGGGGCCCGCACAAGCGGUGGAGCAUGUGGUUUAAUUCGAUGGUACACGAGGAACCUUACCAGGGCUUGACAUGUGCAUGACAGUCCGUGAGAACGGGCGUCCCCGCAAGGGGCAUGCACACAGGUGCUGCUUGGCUGUCGUCAGCUCGUGUCGUGAGAUGUUGGGUUAAGUCCCGCAACGAGCGCAACCCUUACCGUCUGUUGCCAACGGGUGAUGCCGGGGACUCGGACGGAACUGCCGGUGACAAACCGGAGGAAGGUGGGGAUGAGGUCAAGUCAUCAUGGCCCUUAUGUCCUGGGCUACACACGUGCUACAAUGGUCGGUACAAAGCGAGGCGAAACGGCGACGUGGAGCGAAUCGCAGAAAGCCGAUCUCAGUGCGGAUUGGAGUCUGAAACCCGACUCCAUGAAGUUGGAAUCGCUAGUAAUCGCGCAUCAGCAUGGCGCGGUGAAUACGUUCCCGGGCCUUGUACACACCGCCCGUCACACCACCCGAGUUGGGGGUACCCGAAGUCAGUUGCCUAACUCUGCCACGC